rnacentral:rRNA from 1 species
CUCGUAGGCGGUUUGUCGCGUCCGGUGUGAAAGUCCAUCGCUUAACGGUGGAUCCGCGCCGGGUACGGGCGGGCUUGAGUGCGGUAGGGGAGACUGGAAUUCCCGGUGUAACGGUGGAAUGUGUAGAUAUCGGGAAGAACACCAAUGGCGAAGGCAGGUCUCUGGGCCGUCACUGACGCUGAGGAGCGAAAGCGUGGGGAGCGAACA